GAUGAACGCUGGCGGCGUGCCUAAUACAUGCAAGUCGAGCGAACGGGCGAGAAGCUUGCUUUUCUGAUGUUAGCGGCGGACGGGUGAGUAACACGUGGAUAACCUACCUAUAAUACUGGGAUAACUUCGGGAAACCGGAGCUAAUACCGGAUAAUAUUUUGAACCGCAUGGUUCAAAAGUGAAAGACGGUCUUGCUGUCACUUAUAGAUGGAUCCGCGCUGCAUGAGCUAGUUGGUGAGGUAACGGCUUACUAAGGGAACGAUGCAUAGCCGACUUGAGAGGGUGAUCGGCGGCCCUAGAAGUGAACCACGGACCAUACUCCUAAGAGACGCAGCAGUAGGCAAUGGGCCGCAGUGGUCGAAAGCCUUACGGAGCAACGCGGCGUGAGUGAUGAAGGUCUUCCGUUCGUAAAACUGUGUUAUGAGUGAAGAACAUAUGUGUAAGUUGCUGUGCACAGCUUGACGGUAAUGAAUCAGAAAGCCACGGCUAACUACGUG
rnacentral:rRNA from 1 species